GCCGAUGUAGCUCAGAUGGUAGAGCAUCUCACUCGUAAUGAGAAGGUCUCCGGUUCGAUUCCGGACAUCGGCUCCA
rnacentral:tRNA from 9 species